rnacentral:tRNA from 1 species
AAAGCUUUAGUUAAAUAAUAAUCUAAUUUUGUCAAAAUUAAGUUGUCCACGGGCAAGCUUUU